rnacentral:rRNA from 1 species
AAUGUGAAAUCCCCGAGCUUAACUUGGGAAUUGCAUUCGAUACUGGUUGGCUAGAGUAUGGGAGAGGAUGGUAGAAUUCCAGGUGUAGCGGUGAAAUGCGUAGAGAUCUGGAGGAAUACCGAUGGCGAAGGCAGCCAUCUGGCCUAAUACUGACACUGAGGUGCGAAAGCAUGGGGAGCAAACAGGAUUAGAUACCCUGGUAGUCCAUGCCGUAAACGAUGUCUACUAGCCGUUGGGGCCUUUGAGGCUUUAGUGGCGCAGCUAACGCGAUAAGUAGACCGCCUGGGGAGUACGGUCGCAAGACUAAAACUCAAAUGAAUUGACGGGGGCCCGCACAAGCGGUGGAGCAUGUGGUUUAAUUCGAUGCAACGCGAAGAACCUUACCUGGCCUUGACAUACAGAGAACUUUCCAGAGAUGGAUUGGUGCCUUCGGGAACUCUGAUACAGGUGCUGCAUGGCUGUCGUCAGCUCGUGUCGUGAGAUGUUGGGUUAAGUCCCGCAACGAGCGCAACCCUUUUCCUUAUUUGCCAGCACUUUGGGUGGGAACUUUAAGGAUACUGCCAGUGACAAACUGGAGGAAGGCGGGGACGACGUCAAGUCAUCAUGGCCCUUACGGCCAGGGCUACACACGUGCUACAAUGGUCGGUA